UCCGAUAUAGUCUAGUGGCUAUGAUUCCCGGCUCUCACCCGGGCGGCCCGGGUUCGAUUCCCGGUAUCGGAA